rnacentral:rRNA from 1 species
CAUUCCUACGGGAGGCAGCAGUAGGGAAUCUUUCACAAUGGGCGAAAGCCUGAUGGAGCAACGCCGCGUGCAGGAUGAAGGCCUUCGGGUUGUAAACUGCUUUUAUAAGCGAGAAAUAUGAUGGUAACUUAUGAAUAAGGAUCGGCUAACUACGUGCCAGCAGCCGCGGUAAUACGUAGGGUGCAAGCGUUAUCCGGAUUUAUUGGGCGUAAAGGGCUCGUAGGCGGUUCGUCGCGUCCGGUGUGAAAGUCCAUCGCUUAACGGUGGAUCCGCGCCGGGUACGGGCGGGCUUGAGUGCGGUAGGG